rnacentral:rRNA from 1 species
UGGGGAAUAUUGCACAAUGGGCGAAAGCCUGAUGCAGCGACGCCGCGUGAGGGAUGACGGCCUUCGGGUUGUAAACCUCUUUCAGCAGGGACGAAGCGAAAGUGACGGUACCUGCAGAAGAAGCACCGGCCAACUACGUGCCAGCAGCCGCGGUAAUACGUAGGGUGCAAGCGUUGUCCGGAAUUAUUGGGCGUAAAGAGCUCGUAGGCGGCUUGUCGCGUCGGCUGUGAAAACCUGGGGCUCAACCCCGGGCCUGCAGCCGAUACGGGCAAGCUAGAAUUCGGUAGGGGAGACUGGAAUUCC